rnacentral:rRNA from 1 species
AGAGUUUGAUCAUGGCUCAGAUUGAACGCUGGCGGCAUGCCUUACACAUGCAAGUCGAACGCGAAGGGGGGCAACCCCGAGUAGAGUGGCGAACGGGUGAGCAAUACAUCGGAACAUUUCCUGUAGCGGGGGACAACCCCGAGAAAUCGGGGCUAAUACCGCAUACGAUCUACGGAUGAAAGUGGGGGACCGCAAGGCCUCACACUAUAGGAGUGGCCGAUGCCGGAUUAGCUAGUUGGUGAGGUAAUGGCCCACCAAGGCUACGAUCCGUAGCUGGUUUGAGAGAACGACCAGCCACACUGGGACUGAGACACGGCCCAGACUCCUACGGGAGGCAGCAGUGGGGAAUUUUGGACAAUGGGCGAAAGCCUGAUCCAGCCAUGCCGCGUGAGUGAAGAAGGCCUUCGGGUUGUAAAGCUCUUUCGGCGGGGACGAAAUGGCGCGGACGAAUAUUCCGCGUCGAUGACGGUACCCGAAGAAGAAGGACCGGCUAACUACGUGCCAGCAGCCGCGGUAAUACGUAGGGUCCAAGCGUUAAUCGGAAUUACUGGGCGUAAAGCGUGCGUAGGCGGUUUCGCAAGUCCGAUGUGAAAUCCCCGGGCUUAACCCGGGAACUGCGUUGGAAACUACGAGGCUAGAGUGCGGCAGAGGGGGGUGGAAUUCCAGGUGUAGCAGUGAAAUGCGUAGAGAUCUGGAGGAACACCGAUGGCGAAGGCAGCCCCCUGGGUUAGACUGACGCUCAUACACGAAAGCGUGGGGAGCAAACAGGAUUAGAUACCCUAGUAGUCC